rnacentral:lncRNA from 1 species
GGCAUAAAUACGUGGCCGCUCAAGCUGCCACGUUGCUAUUCCACGUGCAAGUCAGGCGCACUACGCAAUGGGUGGAUCUGAUAGGCUCAGAGUUCAUUCAAGUUAACCCCUCCCACGAGAUCGGUCGAAGAGGGAACGAAGCCGAGGGCGGAGAGCAACGAUGAGUGCGGCGAAGAAGGCGGCAGAGGUGGCCACGAAGGCCACCGCCAGAUCGAUGAUGGCGAGGCUCCUCGUCGCCGACGAGCGCAUCGGAGCCAAGCUAGGCCGAUUUUUUUUUCCAACCCUUCUCACUUGAUCGAUCGAUCGGUUUUUUUUUCGUAUUUUUUCGCCUUCCUCGAAUGAAUGAAAUGAACGCCUCGUUUUAGAUCUAGGGUUGGCUUGCUUUUGACAUAUCACCUAUGGUGUCUUUUUAAUUCGAUCAGUGGAUGAUUCCUCAGAUUCAAUCGUUCUGUAGAACACCAAUAUUAUCGUUUCCUAUUUUUAGAAAUUAUUGGAUGAAUUGGCUCCAAUGUUCUGUGAUCCCUUUCAUUUUUACAAUACUCCGCGACUACCAUGCCAUUCAACUAGGUAGGCUUUCUUUUGUUUCACGUUCUGGCCAAUUUUGGUCAGUUGUGGCCAGAUUCAACUAGAUUUGGGAAAUUUAACUGGUAUCAGAAGUCUUCUCUUCGGGUUUUAGGAAGUCUUAGAUUCAAGAAAGGUGGUUUUCGUUAGUCUCGGUCACGGAUGACCAAGAUAUUUAUCUAUUGUUUGGAACUUUAGUGUAAUUUUGGAACCAUUUCUUCGGUCUUUAAAAUAUAGGCUGUUUCCUCUUAGAGUUAAAACAAGGGGUUUUUGAGUCAAAUAAUAGCAUUUCUUGUUUAUAUAAACUAUUUGUUCAUGUAGAAUUUGGUAUUUUCGAAGUCUUAUCAGUUUUACAUCAUAACCUAUUGAUAAGUGUGUCUAAAUGGUAAUAGUAGGAAACUUUUAUUUAGGAUGGCAUGCCCCCUUCAGAGACUUGUCCCUGCACCUGUUUUCUAAGCAUUUCCUUGUUCUUCUUCUUCUUCUUCUUCUUUUUAGCAGCUUGUUUCUGUGUACAAGCACCCUAAUGCAUUCAUGCAUGUAGUCCCUCUUCUGACAAAUAAGGUCUUAAUAAUCAUGCACACAUAUAACCUCCUAGAAGUCUUAGAGGAGCAUCGUUAGAUGAAGUAAGGACUGCUUUAAUAUGUUUUAAUUUGCUAUCAUUUGAAAUUAUACAACAAUAAAAUGAAGAGAUGUAUUCUGAAAUACAGAUAAAAUUGCUUCUUAUUCAAGGUUUUAACAGUCAAUUGCCUUGUAGUGUUACAAUGCCUAUCAAGAGUGACACUUCUAGCAUUCAAAAUACAAUUGUUUUUCUUUCUUUUUCUCUUGGUGCAGCUUUGAGAAGAUUGGAAGCAAGUAUGAGUUUGAUUUUAACGGAUUGAAGCUAUAUCGAUAACCAUAGUCUUAUUGUCAAAGUGGGUUCUGUGAUAUGAUCGUAACUAUCAUCUCAAGUUGAUGUGUUAUAUGCAUUUUUUUUUUUGAAAUAUUUGUAUGCAAAUUUAAGUUUUUACAAUUUCUCUUGUAGGUAGUUAUAUAGUUAUCUAUUCGAUAAUUAGUUUGUUAUCAAAUAUGUGAAUAAUGUAUUACAUUUUAAAUUGAUUAGUAUAUUGAUUCUUUAAUAUUUUCAUUGAUUUUCAAUAUCAUUUUAAUUUUUCCCUAAAUUUGAAACUCAGUUGAUAAAUACUGAAAUAAUUCAAUCAGUCAUUCCAAUAAUUUAAAAUACAGUAAAAGUUUGCAAUAUAUGUAGUCUCUUGGCUUUCUUUUUUUUCCUUUUUUUUGAUUUUUUUUUUGACCAACACUCCAAAACUCGGUCCAAAUUUGACUGCCCUAAUCAAAUCUCUAAACUAAGUUUUUAAAUUAUCAUACAUGUCUGCAUAGAUUAAGGUCCCACAAGAACUAGACAUGAAUUGGUUAUGGAUUUGAAAUAGGCCCAAGCUUAAUGCCUAAACUUAAAAUGUGUAAAACUAGAACCUAACUUAUGUAAGUACCAAGAUAGAGUUUAUGGGUCUGGCUUACAAUUCAAGCAAGGUUGCAUUAAAUAAAUGAAGUUGAAAUGAAGUUUUAUUCAGUUGUUUUAAUGUUUUGAAAUUCGUUGCAAGUGGCCACUUAUGUGGCACAUGUGUAUGCAGUCCCCUGGCCACAUAACAUUCCCUAUAUGCAGUUACUAUUUGUGGUUGCAUUGCAUAUAGGCUGAAAUAAUGGUUUGCUUAACACAAAGCAGUCAGAUAUACAGUAGGAUUAGAAUUAUGUGGUUGCAUAUAUGCAACCUAUCUAUCAUCAUGCGACCACAUAUGUGGGUCUUUUAGCAUAUGUGACUGCAUGCUUGGACACUCUUAUGCAAGCCUAUAUCAACAAGGUAGGUUCGAACUAAUUGUUAGGUUUGCUGUGAGUUUCAAAUAGGACAAAGAUAUGUAUAUUAAUACUGUCUAUAUGUUUACUAUGUUAUCAUAUUACUACUAAGAAAUAAACAAUAAUUGCUAGAUCUUAUUGAUAUUGCUAUUAUUUAUUGAAAACAUUAGUUGCAUUGUUUUUAAAGCAAACGUUUCUUUUUUAUGUUAAAUAUUAAAAAUACUAACUGCAUAUGCAGCCCACAUAACUUAUAUGCUCUAUGCGGCCUUUUGACUGCUUGCAUUCUGCAAUCACCUUUUAAAACAUUGAAUUGUUCUAUCCAACUUACUUUAAUUUGGAUCUCUAUUUAGGGCAUGUGGCUGAUCCACAAUUUUGGAUGUUGAGUCAGAGUUGAGUCAAUAACAAUUUGGUAUUUUUAUAAUAAGAUAUAAUAAAUUCAAAGGAAAGAGCUAGCUGUAGCAGCCAGCUAGCAUCAAAUCUUCUCUCUCUCUUCUCCAUCAGUUACUAAAGAGAGAGAAGAAUAUGAUCUCUAAUUCUCUUGAGAAAAGUGCCUUAAAAUCUGAUAAUGGAGUUGUCAAACCAUGAAAUAAAAAAUGGUUCCAUAUCUAUUAUUAAUGACUUCAAAAAAAAAUUGAUGUAUCAUAUGGAAGACAUAUCUUCUUGUUAAAAACUUGUUGCAAUCCUUAAUACAUCCUCCAAUAUCAUAAUAAUGCAAGUGUCUGAUAUGAUCAUAUCCUUAUUCUUUUUUUUGCGGAUCUAAAUUUAUGUUAGCCUCCAAAACAUAUUAUCAUGAUCAUUUUAGGGCAUGCUUGGUUGCACCGAAGUGACUGAAGUGAGAAGUGGCCAUUUUGCCCGAACUAAGUUUUGAGAACUCACUUUUGUCAAAGUGAGACUUUAGGUGUUUGGUUGCAAAGGGGGUGGAGUGGAGGGAGGGUCCAUCAUCGGCGCUGUAGUGGGCAAGGUCGUCAUUGGAGUUGGGGAUAGCAUGGCCUUGGUUGAAGGGGUAGUGGAGGCUAGGGUUAUCUUUGGAGGGGCUGUGGUCGACUUCGGUGUGGUGGGGGAGGAGUCAACUGCUAGAGGGGCAGGGGAGGUCGCGGUAGUCGUUGCACAAG